rnacentral:sRNA from 1 species
GCGGAGGAAAAGAAACCAACAGGGAUUGCCCUAGUAACGGCGAGUGAAGCGGCAACAGCUCAAAUUUGAAAUCUGGCUCUCUUUGGGGGUCCGAGUUGUAAUUUGCAGAGGAUGCUUUGGCAUUGGCGGCGGUCUAAGUUCCUUGGAACAGGACAUCGCAGAGGGUGAGAAUCCCGUACGUGGGCGCCUGCCUUUGCCGUGUAAAGCUCCUUCGACGAGUCGAGUUGUUUGGGAAUGCAGCUCUAAAUGGGAGGUAAAUUUCUUCUAAAGCUAAAUACCGGCCAGAGACCGAUAGCGCACAAGUAGAGUGAUCGAAAGAUGAAAAGUACUUUGGAAAGAGAGUCAAAAAGCACGUGAAAUUGUUGAAAGGGAAGCGCUUGCAGCCAGACUUGCCCGCAGUUGCUCACCUAGGCUUUGGCCUGGGGCACUCUUCUGCGGGCAGGCCAGCAUCAGUUUGGGCGGUUGGAUAAAGGCCUCUGUCACGUAUCUCCCUUCGGGGUGACCUUAUAGGGGAGGCGUAAUGCAACCAGCCCGGACUGAGGUCCGCGCAUCUGCUAGGAUGCUGGCGUAAUGGCUGUAAGCGGCCCGUCUUGAAACACGGACCAAGGAGUCUAACAUCUAUGCGAGUGUUUGGGUGUCAAGCCCGGGCGCGCAAUGAAAGUGAACGGAGGUGGGAACCCUUUGGGUGCACCAUCGACCGAUCCUGAUGUCUUCGGAUGGAUUUGAGUAAGAGCAUAGCUGUUGGGACCCGAAAGAUGGUGAACUAUGCUUGAAUAGGGUGAAGCCAGAGGAAACUCUGGUGGAGGCUCGCAGCGGUUCUGACGUGCAAAUCGAUCGUCAAAUUUGGGCAUAGGGGCGAAAGACUAAUCGAACCAUCUAGUAGCUGGUUCCUGCCGA